rnacentral:rRNA from 1 species
UGGGGAAUCUUGCGCAAUGGACGAAAGUCUGACGCAGCGACGCCGCGUGAGUGAUGAAGGCCUUCGGGUUGUAAAGCUCUGUGGGGAGAGAAGAAUUAGUCAUGGCCAACAUCCAUGAUGAUGACGGUAUCUCCUUAGCAAGCACCGGCUAACUCUGUGCCAGCAGCCGCGGUAAGACAGAGGGUGCAAACGUUGUUCGGAAUUACUGGGCGUAAAGCGUGUGUAGGCGGCCGCGCAAGUCGGAUGUGAAAGCCCUGGGCUCAACCCAGGAAGUGCACCCGAUACUGCAUGGCACGAGUACUGGAGAGGUUGGUGGAAUUCUCGGUGUAGAGGUGAAAUGCGUAGAGAUCGGGAGGAACACCAGUGGCGAAGGCGACUAUCUGGACCAGCACUGACACUGAGGCACGAAAGCGUGGGGAGCAAACA